rnacentral:rRNA from 1 species
CCUACGGGUGGCAGCAGUGAGGAAUAUUGGUCAAUGGUCGGGAGACUGAACCAGCCAAGCCGCGUGAGGGAGGACGGUCCAGAGUAUCGUAAACCUCUUUUGUCAGGGAACAAAGACUGGGACGCGUCCCCGGAUGAGUGUACCUGAAAAAAAAGCAUCGGCCAAUUCCCUGCCAGCAGCCGCGGUAAUACGGAGGAUGCGAGCGGUAUCCGGAUUUAUUGGGUUUAAAGGGUGCGCAGGCGGUCUGUUAAGUCAGCGGUCAAAGCCCGGGGCUCAACCCCGGCCCGCCGUUGAAACUGGCAGUCUCGAGUUGGAGAGAAGUAUGCGGAAUGCGCGGUGUAGCGGUGAAAUGCAUAGAUAUCGCGCAGAACUCCGAUUGCGAAGGCAGCAUGCCGGCUCCACACUGACGCUGAGGCACGAAAGCGUGGGUAUCGAACAGGAUUAGAUACCCCAGUAGUC